GACGAACGCUGGCGGCGUGCCUAAUACAUGCAAGUAGGACGCAGUCGCGAACGGGAGAGUAACGAGUAGGUCACUACCUAUUAGUGGCGGAUAACUAUUGGAAACGAUAGCUAAUACCGUAUACUAGUAGAUGGACCUGCGUGGUAUUAGCUAGUAGGUAGGGUAAUGGCCUACCUAGGCAACGUUCCAUAGCCGGCCUGGUAGGGGGACCGGCCACACUGGAACUGAGACACGGCCAAGACUCCGACGGGAGGCAGAAGUAGGGAAUCUUGGGCAAGGGGGGAAAGCUGACCGAGCAACUCCGCGUGAGUUAAGAAAGUUUUCGGGUCGGAAAGCUCUGUUGAUAAGGAAGCGGUACUUAACCAGAAAGGGACGGCUAACUACGUGCCAGCAGCCGCGGUAAUUC
rnacentral:rRNA from 1 species